rnacentral:rRNA from 1 species
UGGGGAAUUUGGACAAUGGGCGCAAGCCUGAUCCAGCAAUGUCGCGUGCAGGAUGAAGGCCUUCGGGUUGUAAACUGCUUUUGUACGGAACGAAACGGUCUUUUCUAAUACAGAAGGCUAAUGACGGUACCGUAAGAAUAAGCACCGGCUAACUACGUGCCAGCAGCCGCGGUAAUACGUAGGGUGCAAGCGUUAAUCGGAAUUACUGGGCGUAAAGCGUGCGCAGGCGGUUAUAUAAGACAGAUGUGAAGUCCCCGGGCUCAACCUGGGAACUGCAUUUGUGACUGUAUAGCUAGAGUACGGCAGAGGGGGAUGGAAUUCCGCGUGUAGCAGUGAAAUGCGUAGAUAUGCGGAGGAACACCGAUGGCGAAGGCAAUCCCCUGGGCCUGUACUGACGCUCAUGCACGAAAGCGUGGGGAGCAAACA